rnacentral:tRNA from 1 species
GGUAGAGCUCAGUGGUAGAGCACGUGCUUAGCAUGCAGGAGGUCCUGGGUUCAAUCCCCAGUACUGCCA